rnacentral:misc_RNA from 1 species
CGACGACCGGACGUCCAUAUAAAAAGGAUGGGAUCCAUAGAGAUUAAGGUCCGCGUUGGAACUUCCAAUGUCGGCAUUCCAUAGAGUCAAAGUCUGGUUGUGCGUAAGCUUAAACGAGCUUUUAGUGUGCUCUCCGAGCCCGUAAAGGUUAGCUCUGGUAGUUGGUAGUGCCGAGGAGAUCUGGAUGUACUGAUCUUUGAAUAUGAGGAAUGUAUCGGGG